AGUUUUCCAAAUGUAGAUGAUGCUGGGAGAAACUCCAGGCGCCCCCUUGAAGCCACGCGGCACCAGCACCCACAGCACCCACCUCACCGGAGGGCACACCCCCACCACUGCCGAUAAGUUUUCAGGGGCUUUCCUAGCUGGUGGGCAGCUGAAGCAGCCAGCUGAGAGGGACUCACCAGGGAGCCCUGGGCGCCCCUCGGGCUGGGCUGGUGACCGCGGCAGCCGUGGCGGCGGGCGCAGGGUCGCGGCUCCCCGGGAGAUGCUGCAGCAGCGGCAGCAGCGGGUCUCAUGUAACCCGAGUUACCAGCAAACUUGCCACGUAGCUGGGGAUGACCUCAAACUUCUAACCCUCCUGUCUGGACCUCUGGAGUGCUAGGAUUACAGGAAACCGUCCCAGUGAGCAGAGUCAGAGGUCCACAAGGACCCACCCUGAGACUCCUCGUGGCCUGCACACAUGGUAGAAUCAACUUCCAUAUGUUCUUGGGCCCUCACCAGCAAUACCCAGCGUGCACCAUGCUGAGUCCCAAGGGAGCCAGGUAGAAAGGCUACAGGAAAUGGAUCCUAGAAGGAGUCAUUUGUGGAUAUCCCCUUGCAGCAGAUGGUCCCUGUUCUCUUGGCUGGUGCACUUGGCGCCUCCUCAGCUGGUCCCUUUUGACACUGUUUGGACUGAUUUUCAGCAGGCUCCUGGACUUUGGCAUCCCUUCUCCACAAAUACAGCCACCAAGAAGGCCACAGCCAUCCCCAGCCCUGGUGACGCUGGCCUUUGGCAGCAGACAGCUUAGCCCUCCUUCAUGUUCCUGCUGACAUCCGAGGAAAAGUCAUCGAGAUACCACGAAGCAAGCAGCACCUUCUUGCUAAAAGAGGUUUCCUUCUCAUGUCCCAGCGCAAUUCAGGCUGCAAGCCACCAGAGGAAACUUCAUUUUUACCCUACAUUUCCUGCCCAGUUCACUGUGUAAUUGGCCUGUGCUUCCCCCUCGGUGAUUUAGCAGGGAGUGCCGCAUCUU
rnacentral:lncRNA from 1 species